rnacentral:rRNA from 1 species
UCAUCAGAGGUCCCUGAACGUUCCUGAUCUCAUCUGAUCUCAGAAUCUAACCAGGGUCAGUCCUGGUUAGUGCAUGGAUGGGAGAUCAUCUGAGGUGCUGGAGAAGUGAA